rnacentral:lncRNA from 1 species
AAAAGAACGAAGAAAGAGACUGAAAACAAAAAAAUUCACACACAAAGCUACGCAUAGGACCCCCCUCUCAGAUCGUCUUCUCCAAACACCCCUUUCCCCACUGCCUUUUCUUCAACAACAAAACCAACAAACACCAUAACAAGGAGCCGCUGCUGCUUCUCCAUCUUGUGACCCCUCGCUGGAAACAACCAGCGAGAACCACAGAGACCACCGUCGUUUACCUCCACUUUGAUCCAAUCGCCGACGAACCAAACAACACCCUUCAUUUUCGCUUGCUUCAACCUAGAACGACCUGAAACCAGCAACACAAAAAUGCACACACACUCACAAAUAGAGAGAAAGGAAGCUGUUGUUCUUGUAAUUUUAUUUGGUUUUAGCUUCUGUCUCGCCGGCGACAGAUCCGACAUUCCCGUCAGCUUGUGUUUUCAGGUGAUUUUCAGUCCAAAACAACACCUGAACACAAAAAUUCCGGUCAGAGCUUGAGUCUUGUUGAGGUUUCCGUUCGAGGUUCGGUGGCAGUUUGGCUUUUGCUCCGAUUUUUCUAUUCGACUUUUAGUAGCGUAUCAGGUAUGAACCUAGAUUCGAAAUGUUGUAAUUGUUGAUCCGUUCCUCGGUAUCAUAAUGAUGUUGCCACCAUUUUCUGAUGCUCCGAUGCUUCCUUGGAUCGUUGAAGCAUAUGUUCAUGAUUUGCUCAUUGAUGACUUCAAUUUGUGCUAAUUGUUUACUGCCUCUGUUUUGUUAAAGUGAGCUGCUUCAUGUUCAGCCAUAUGUGAAUGUGGUUUUCCUUAAUUAUGGAGUUUACUAUUGUUGUUCAUUUUCUACGCACUACUUCUGUUCCGAUUUUGACUCGAUUUUUGCAGGUUUUGUUGUUAUUGAGAUGUUGGUGAUAGUAUGUUUUUGACGAAAUUGAAGGUCUGCUCUCCUGCCAAAAUUCUGUCCUUCACCCAUGAAGUUUUUUUUUUUCGUUUCUGUCACUAUCCUUAUUGGCAAAAUUAUGUACUAAUCUUGUUCUUGACCAUUGAAGUGCUUAGCUUAUUUGCUAUACUUUUGUUCAUUUAGAUCUCCAUCGUAUAUAGAUACGUAGGUGAUGUUCCUCUGAGUUGGGAAGUUAUAUGGUAUAAUAUUAAAGAAGUUCAUCACUUGUAAAAUACUUAUCAACAGAUCACUUUCACAUUUGUGUAUAAAUAUAGAUCAGGUAUAUGUUUAUGUAAUUCUAUAUCCAAACGAGCCUUCCAAUGAAUGUGUAACUUAGAAAUAUAAUUUUGAACAUGUUAGAAUUCCUGGGCGCAUUUAAUUCAUUAUCGUAAUUAUGUACACGUUCGCGUGAUAGAAGUGCGUUUUUUCUUUUAAAAAUAAUAAAUAUUCGUAGAAAAGCCUUUAGGGCCGUUUAAUAUACAAUCAUGAUUGUGUACACAUUCGCGUGACAUAAUUACAGUUCUAAAAUCAACUCGGAGUAUGCGUUCGCGCAACUUCGAUUAAACCUUUUCUUAAUAAUAAAUUUGUUAGUAAUAUAGUACCUUUUAAUUUAACUUAGUUCUUGUAGUUCAAGGUGUGCCAUCCAUAAUUUAAUCACAUAUGGUCCUCGUAUUAAUUUCAUAAUUUAGAUAUAACAAAUAACCAAUGAUCGUAGUUUGCUUUAGGCACAUUUAAUAUAUUAUCGUGGUUGUGGACACGUUCGCGUGACAUGAUAUUUGACACACCAAACAAAUGAGUAUACGUAUGCGUAACUCAAUUCUUUAAUUACGAAUAAUUCAAGUGAUUAAAAAGCGGUAAAAAGGUAAAUGCACAUAGGUCCUAAAAAUGAGUAUUUAAAUAAUUUAAGCCAAGUAUAAAUUGCUAAGCGACCGUGCUAGAACCACGAAAUUCGGGAGUGCCUAACACCUUCUCCCGGGUUAAUAGAAUUCCUUACCCGGAUUUCUAUGUUCGUGGACCAUAAAUAAGAGUCAACUUCCUCAAUUCGGGAUUUUAAACCGGGGACUUGGAACGCCAUAAAUUAUCCCAAGUGGCGACUCUGAAUUUAAUACAAAUAAUCCCGUUUCGAUUGUCACUUAAAUUGGAAAAACUCCCUUAUUCCCCUUGAGGGGUGUAGGUAAAAAGGAGGUGUGACAGCUCUGGCUACUCUGUUGGGGAUCGAACCCAGAAUCUCCGGUUCAGGGUUCAAGAAUUCGAGCUUGUUAACAUGGUUUUUACUUGGCUUUAUUUAUUGUUGAUAUUACUGUAUUAUGUGAACCUUUUGUGCUAAAUGCUAUCUGUUUACCGCUUUGAUAUUGUUUGAGUUGUAUAUAACUGUUUUCUUAUGCCAGGCCUCUGAGUCUUCUAAAAAUGGUGCACACGUUCGAGUGACCCGCGUUUUCUGUAGAAAUUAUACCAAAUAGAACGAGGCUGGGCAAGCGAUAAGGCCUGGUAGACUUCAGUGCUCCCGGUACGUCGCCCCCUCUUCGGCCCCAAUUGUCCACUCGGGUACCCCAAGUCUAGAACAAAACCCCAGGAUUCAAACCUAGAAAAAC